GAAGCCCCGGUAAACGGCGGCCGUAACUAUAACGGUCCUAAGGUAGCGAAAUUCCUUGUCGGGUAAAUUCCGACCUGCACGAAUGGCGUAACGACCGCUUCGGUGUCUCCAGCGUGGACUCAGCGAAAUUGAAUUCUCCGUGAAGAUGCGGAGUACCCGCGGUUAGACGGAAAGACCCUAUGCACCUUUACUGCAGCUUUGCAUUGACGUCAGAGCCGGUCUGUGCAGGAUAGGCGGGAGACUUCGAAGUCCGGGCGCCAGCCCGGGCGGAGUCGUCCUUGAGAUACCGCCCUGACCUGUUCUGGCGCCUAACCCGCGACCGUGAAUCCGGCGCGGGGACCCUGCAUGGCGGGUAGUUUGACUGGGGCGGUCGCCUCCCAAAAAGUAACGGAGGCGCGCGACGGUGGGCUCAGGCUGGUCGGAAACCAGCCGCCGAGCGCAAUGGCACAAGCCCGCCUGACUGCGAGAUCGACGGAUCGAGCAGAGACGAAAGUCGGCCAUAGUGAUCCGGUGGUUCCAUGUGGACGGGCCAUCGCUAAACGGAUAAAAGGUACGCUAGGGAUAACAGGCUAAUCUCCCCCAAGAGUCCUCAUCGACGGGGAGGUUUGGCACCUCGAUGUCGACUCAUCGCAUCCUGGGGCUGGAGAAGGUCCCAAGGGUAUGGCUGUUCGCCAUUUAAAGCGGUACGCGAGUUGGGUUCAGAACGUCGUGAGACAGUUUGGUCCCUAUCUGCCGUGGGCGUUUGGAUACUUGAAAGGGUCUGUUCCCAGUACGAGAGGACCGGAAUGGACAUGCCUCUGGUGUGCCGGUUGUGGCGCCAGCCGCACCGCCGGGUAGCUAUGCAUGGACGGGAUAACCGCUGAAAGCAUCUAAGCGGGAAGCCUUCCUUGAGACGAGGUAUCCUUUGAGAGCCGUUGAAGACGACGACGUUGAUAGGCCGGAUGUGGAAGCGCGGCGACGUGUGAAGCUGACCGGUACUAAUUGCUCGAGGCUUUGUUUUG
rnacentral:rRNA from 1 species